ACUGGUGACUGACAAGCUGCGGAGGCUGAGACAGCACUUCACAGUUUUCAGCACCAGCACAGGCUGUCUGGAGAGGAGAAUCUUUGUCUGCCUGGGGCCAGUGGGGGCAGGCAGGUUUGGCUAAUCUGCUUGGGACAAGGGCUUAGAUUCCCAACUCUGCCACUUCCUAGUUAUGUCACAUUAGUUAAGCUUGGUCUGUGCCUCAGUUUCUUCAUCAGUAAAGUGGGGGAGAAUAAUGGCUCUGGCCUCUGCAUGUCUUUAUAAAGACUGGAAAUACAGUGAAACCAUUCCUUCCUGUCUGGCCAGCCUCCCAGGAACUGCCAAGUGCUGUCAUGCAUCAUGAAUUAGUACUGCCCACGAGGAAGCUUGCACACAGCUGUAGUCCCCGGAGAUGACACUGCCUGGUGACUUGUAGUCAGUCUGUGGACGUGUGUUCCCAUGAGGAUGGAAUCAGCAAGUGGCACUCUCCUCGGGAUGUGUCCCUGCUGACCCAGAGAUACAAUCAGCACGAGGAUAUGGAAAGGGGAGCCAACAAAUAAGUCCCCAGCCCAGAGAUGAAAGGUACUUUCACCCCAUCCUGAGUUCUGAAUGUCACAAGAGUCAGGUGACCUGGUAUCACCUUAAGAGUCUAUGACGACUUCCCCUGAUCAACAGAUACAAGCAGCAUCAUUAAAUCUACAAGGUCAGUCCCCUACCACAAAAAUUUUAAGAAUGCUGGCAAAUCAAACCACACCAUGCAAUACAGUUGUAGUGAAGAAUUUCCGUAAAAUGUUGCCAUUCCCCAAAUAUGAUGGUUUCUAAACAGAACCAGCAGUGACUGUUUUUUUUUUUCCUCCACCAUUCUUUUGAUUUCUAAAAGCAGUCACCCUCAUUCACCUGGCAGAUGACUAUAGGGUCCCCCUAUAUACAUGGCCCAGAGGACUCUUUCUCUUAGAACUAGAUGGAACUUACUGUUCCAUGCCGUGCAAAGAUAACCCCCAGAGGAAAUCCCUUCACUAGCACCUGGAUCCACUGUGACCUGACUUUCCCUGCAGCCUCUCAAUUCACCUACCUGGUUAUGAAUAACAACAAGCACUACCCAUGUAUGGAUGAUUUGACUUUGCUUCCUAGUUGAGAACAAUCUCAUUUUACUCAGGACAGCAAUGUGCUCAGCCCAAGGACACCAUAUAUGCCCUGACUGGAUAAGCCAAACAGCCGCCUCACCUUCCUUUGACAAGUUACCAUUCCAGACUCUCUUGGACCUGGCCACUGAGUAAAACUCCAGUACCUGGUGCUAUGGCAUCUGCUAUGUAGCCAUGAGACAAUAAACAUGAGGAUCCGAAGCCACCACAGUGACCAUGGGUGAAUAGAAGGCAGAAGAACACGUUCUUGGUGACAUCAUUAAAGGUCCAGCUCCACCCAUCUCCACGCAAAACGGAGGUCAAUUAGUUUUCAUUACAGGCUGGCAUAGUGCUAGACUGUCCGCUCACCUCCUACUAUGACCUGGGAAGUGGCCACUCACCUGUACUAUGAUAAGUACCCUCUCUUGCAGGGGUGGCUUUGUGAGGAAACUCGCCCCAAAGAAUAUGAGGAAAGAUUCAUUUCACAACAAUGGGACAAGGUUCCUUCCUUCUAGAGAUGUGUUCCAAGGCAUUUAGAUACCAACUGUCUGUCACCCAAUAAAAUUUCAACAGAGAGAUGAAAAAGCUAGAAAUAAAGUGCAGUAGCUGCAUGACUGUACGGCUGCAUGGCCACACAGCAGCAUGGGUGCAUGGAUGCACAGUAGCACUGAUGCAUGGCUUCAUGGCCGCAUGGCUGCACGGUUGCAUGGCUGCAUGGUUGCACAGUUGGAUGGUUGCAUGGCUGCAAGGCCACACAGCAGCAUGGCUGCACGGCUGCACAGUUGCAUGGCCACACAGCAGCAUGGCUGCAUGACUGCACAGCAGCAUGGCUACAUGGCCACACGGCCGCAUAGCAGCAUGGUUGCAUUUGAUCCCCAGUGGCUGGGCCUGCUUGGGAAGAUUACAGAACCUUUAGGAGGAAGACCCUUGCUGGAGGAAUUCUGUCACUGGGGGUAGACUCUAAAGUUUUAGAUAGCCUGUUCUUUCUCUUACUUCCUGUGUGUAGACAAAAAAAAUGUGAUCAACAGCUGCUUGUUCCUUCCUCUGCCACAACCCUCUGCCUCUAGACCUGUACGCCAAAAGUAAGCACCUCUCUCCUCGAAGUUGCUUUUGGUCAUGUAUUUUAUCCGAGCAACAGAAAAGCACCUAAUUCAAACCCUAAGAAUGGAAGCCAGCGAUGUGAACAGAUGCAUGUAAACGCACACUUAGAGCAGCAGCAUUCCCAGCAGCCUAAGACAGAAACAAGCCGAGUGCCUGCCCAUCAGUGGGCGAAAAAGUUUGGCACUUUACAUACAAUGGAAUAUUACGUAGCUUUGGAGGGGGGCAGACAUGGUGGCUCCCAUCUGCAAUCCCAGCACUCAAGGGUUGUCACAAGUGCAAGGCCAGCCAUAAAAAGGGAAUUCUGACAAAUGCCAUUUAAUGAACAUAAGACAGUGCUGUGUGGUCUCACUUAUGGAGACCAAAGUGGCUCAACCAACAGAGACGGCAGGAUGGACAGAAAGCAGGUGCUAGCUCUGGGGUGGACUUGGAAUGGAUGCUUGUAUUUCGUGAGUACAGUAAGUCUCCACCUGGAAGUUAUGGUUUCUGGGUAACACACUGCCCUUUCUGCCUGGGUAGAUGUGAUUCUUUCAUAGUCUUAUUACUGUGUGAUUAUAAUGUGUGUGUGUGUGCAUAUAUUCAUGUAUGUAUAUGUUUGUGUGUAUGUAUAGUAUAUGUGUGUAUACUGCAUGUAUGUAUGUUUGUGUGUGCAUAAUGUGUGUAUGUGUAUAUAUAUGUAUAUAAUAUGAAUGUAUAAUGUACAUACGUGAUGUGUAUGUAUGUGUGAUGUGUGUGCAUGUAUGUGCAUGUGUAUAUAUAAUGUGCGUGAGUGUACAUGUUACUUAUGCAUAAUGUGUGUGUAUAUAUAAUGUGUGUAUAUGUAUGUGUGAUAUUUGUGAAUGUCUGCAUAUGUGCAUGCACAUGUGAGUAUACAUCCUCUCUGUGUGUGUGUGUGUGUGUGUGUGAUUGUGUAUGUGUUCAGAGGAUCAAACUCAGGUUGGAGUGCUUGCAUGCAGUCUUACACACUAUAAACUAAAUGGCAGGUUACCCACCUUCUACACUCACACAUGCCUUCCAGUUACAGUGGUGGAGCACUGUAGGAAAUGGAGAUUUUCUGGGAGCCAGGAAAGAGCUGGUGGUGGCAGAUUACCAGCUGUCUAUGAAAGUCAACGUCCCCUUCUUCCCCUGUGUGAGCAGAAGAUCUGGGCACACAGCUGUCCCACUUAUGGCAACCCAGUUCCUCUGGGCUGCGGCACAGCUAAUGAUUAAUUUCUUACCAAUGGGACAUGAACAGGAGGGAUUGCCUCUGAUCUAAAACAACAGCGACCCUGCACAUUCACAACGCUGCAGAUGGCCUAGCUGUUAUCAGAACCUCCUCUCCCACUGAUUCGUAACACCCACCCUCUGUUACAUAAAUUAAAAAGACAAACAAGCCUUCCAUGUUUUAAAGCCAUCUUGUCUUUAGAUUCUUGUUGCCACAGCGGAAUCUUUUCUUCUGUGGCUAAUUAGUAUAUGUAGAUGCUGAAGUCCAAACGGCAAAGCCAUUGUUCAUAAGCUACUGGAAACAUCCUAUGAUCCUUAGGUGACAGUGACAUACAUAACCUUGCCCUGGGAAUUAGGUGAUACCCAGGAGACCAGAGUGACCGUGUUUCCCCCAGUCCAUGGGAGAGCUGAGGCCAGAGGACGGUGUCCUGACUUUAAAAUGGCUAAUCUUUCCUACGUAUGUAAAAAUUUCCAGUUUUCUCUCCCUUGAGAGAGGAUUUCAUCUAGUCCUGGAUGGUUUUAAACUUGCUACAUCGUCAGGAUGUCCCUGAACUCCUGAUCCUCCUGCCUCCACUUCCAAAGUCCUGAAAUUACAGGCACACACCACCAGCCCUGGAUUCUGUGGUGCUGGGGAUUAAACAAAGGUUCCUGCUAGACAAGCCCUCCAUCGACUGAGAUACCCCCUCAGCCCCAUCCUCACAGAGCUUUCAUAGAUGCACAAAUCUAAUCCCUACUUGUCAAAUACUUCCUGAAGGACUCAAGCCUCCUCUGAGGCAGGGGAAAGCCUGGGUUUUGUCACUGAUGUGAUUUGUCGAUGGUGAUGUGAUUGUUUGGGGACAGUUCUGAAGUCUAUUUGCUUGCCCUUUGGUGUGCAAUUAUUUCAUGUAUCUGCCUAUUCCAAAGGCAAUAAACAACAACAAAAAAGCCAUACAAUAGUCUGACCGCAAGCCGCCAUGUGUGCCCUGGUCCCCAGCUGCGAGACUGCACAACAGCAGCCUCUCUGACACGCCGUGUCAGCUCUGAGCUCUAGAACAAGAUUGAGCCCACGAGAUGCAGGCUCUCUCUUGCCUAGGCUCUGACAUCAAUACUUAGUUCAGUGAAGGGAAAACAAGCAAACCUGAAACAAAUCAAAGCAAAACAAGAAAUGUUCCAGCCAAGUCUCCAGGGACAGAAAACUCCCAGGAACUCCAGGAGAUAAAGAUCUGACAGGCAAACAGGUUGAAGCUUGCCUGGCUAGUGGGAGAAUCCUGACCCUGAGCAAGGAGCAGGACCAGCCAUCCCUGACCACUGACGGUGGAGCUCCUUGUCAAUCAGCUGCCAGCUUCUUGGUGGAUAGUGCUACAAAUGCAAAGAAACUGAUGAUUAUUCUUCUACAUCCCAUUGUAUGGACCUCAGGCUAGAGCAAGGGCCACGAGUGUGACCUGGAUCAGUGGGGUGAUGCAUUUUGCUUAACCUUACUAAGCCUCAGUUUUCUCAUCACAGCAUGGGGUUCAUAUAGUACCUACUUCUUUGGGUUGCAGUUAAGACUAAGAUUUAACCUAUCAGUGACAUACAUGUGCUCUUCCUAACUGGAAAAUACACACACACACACACACACACACACACACACACACACACACACGUAAUAUAUAUAAAUAAUUCUUUAAGAAGUCUCUUGGAGAUCAUUUUAUGCCAAUGACUUCUCCUGAAGGACAGAAAGCACGUGAAAUAUACCACCAGAGGUUGUUGGUGCGCAGAGGGUACAGGAGCAUGCUGUACGUCAUCCGGCAUCCUUCCUUCAGCAAGAACUAAUCAAAAACUGAACUCACGUCCCCUGAACCCAAGCAGAACGACUCCAUCAGCAGAAUGGCAACCAUCAGAAGCGGGAGCUGAUGGAGUGUAGUUAGCUGCCCAGGACCUGAUCUUCCAAAGCCAGUGGUCGCUCCACAUUUGGUAAAUGCUCACUUCCUUCAUGCAGAUUCUUCCACCAUGUAGUACCCUGUAUAAAAGCAAUCUGGGCAGUCUUUGGAUGGCCUUUUCUUCAGUCUCUGCUCCACUCUUUGACCCUACAUUGUCCCACCUGGGGAUCC